CAUCUACUGCAGACCAUUUAGGGCGGUCUGGGUAAAGCAGCUCACCAAGAUAACAAAUAUCUUCACUUUUCUUGAUACCCGAGCUUGUGGUCCACUAGAUAUCACGAGUCUAACUGUACAGUCUACUGCUUAUGGAGACACAAGCGCGUAGUUGUGUCCAGUUGACUGACAGUUGAGAGGCGGGACCAAAGAGCCAGAGCUCAACCCCCGCAAGAACAACUAGCCGCAGCAAGCAGCCGUGCGUGGUGAAGUGACCUGUGGAGGUGUGGUCAGGGCCAGCCUUCCUCGAGGCCCGCCAGCCUGGUAUCUGGCCACCUAGGGUACGUAGGCUCCAUUACCACACCCUGCCAUAGUGUGGUCAUACACGGCGUGCCCGGUCAGUAGCAUCGAAAACCUGUACCGGAAUAUCAUCUUCAUCAAUCAGUCACUACAGUCCCACAUCAGUUACAGCCCCGCUCCUGCACACCGCUUCCCACUGGAUGGGGGGCGGUGUGCAGAACAAACAUGUGUGGAGAGCUAGUGUCACAAUUGACAUGUCAGUUCCUUAAUUUUUGAAACUGUACUUGUGGUCGAUCUCGAGCCCAUUGUUGAUGUGAAGAUAUGCAUUGCAUUUUGUAACUAGUUCAUCUAGAUUGUAACUUGCUUAGUUGAAUAAAUUGUGGGGUUCAGUCCCU
rnacentral:misc_RNA from 1 species